rnacentral:rRNA from 1 species
AGAGUUUGAUCAUGGCUCAGAUUGAACGCUGGCGGAAUGCUUUACACAUGCAAGUCGAACGGCAGCACGGGGCAACCUGGUGGCGAGUGGCGAACGGGUGAGUAAUACAUCGGGACGUGCCCAAUCGUGGGGAUAACGUAGCGAAAGUUACGCUAAUACCGCAUACGAUCUACGGAUGAAAGCGGGGGAUCGCAAGACCUCGCGCGAGUGGAGCGGCCGAUGUCAGAUUAGGUAGUUGGUGGGGUAAAGGCUCACCAAGCCAACGAUCUGUAGCUGGUCUGAGAGGACGACCAGCCACACUGGAACUGAGACACGGUCCAGACUCCUACGGGAGGCAGCAGUGGGGAAUUUUGGACAAUGGGCGCAAGCCUGAUCCAGCCAUUCCGCGUGCAGGAUGAAGGCCUUCGGGUUGUAAACUGCUUUUGUACGGAACGAAACGGCGAGCUCUAAUACAGUUUGCUAAUGACGGUACCGUAAGAAUAAGCACCGGCUGACUACGUG